UACGUAGGUGGCGAACGUUAUCCGGAGUGACUGGGUGUAAAGGGUCCGUAGGCGGGAGGGCAAGUCUAGUGUGAAAGCGCCCGGCUCAACUGGGCGAGUGCGCUGGAAACUGCCUUUCUUGAAUCACGCAGAGGUCGGCGGAAUUCCCGGUGUAGUGGUGGAAUGCGUAGAGAUCGGGAGGAACCUCGAAAGCGAAGGCAGCCGACUGGGGGAUGAUUGACGCUGAGGGACGAAAGCGUGGGGAGCGAACAGG
rnacentral:misc_RNA from 1 species